UCUCCGGAGGGAAGCGAGUGGCGAACGGCUGAGUAACACGUGGAGAACCUGCCCCCUCCCCCGGGAUAGCCGCCCGAAAGGACGGGUAAUACCGGAUACCCCCGGGCGCCGCAUGGCGCCCGGGCUAAAGCCCCGACGGGAGGGGAUGGCUCCGCGGCCCAUCAGGUAGACGGCGGGGUGACGGCCCACCGUGCCGACAACGGGUAGCCGGGUUGAGAGACCGACCGGCCAGAUUGGGACUGAGACACGGCCCAGACUCCUACGGGAGGCAGCAUG
rnacentral:rRNA from 1 species